GACGAACGCUGGCGGCGUGCUUAACACAUGCAAGUCGAACGGAAAGGCCCUGCUUUUGUGGGGUGCUCGAGUGGCGAACGGGUGAGUAACACGUGAGUAACCUGCCCUUGACUUUGGGAUAACUUCAGGAAACUGGGGCUAAUACCGGAUAGGAGCUCCUGCUGCGUGGGGGGGGUUGGAAAGUUUCGGCGGUUGGGGAUGGACUCGCGGCUUAUCAGCUUGUUGGUGGGGUAGUGGCUGACCAAGGCUUUGACGGGUAGCCGGCCUGAGAGGGUGACCGGCCACAUUGGGCCUGAGAUACGGCCCAGACUCCUACGGGAGGCAGCAGUGGGGAAUAUUGCACAAUGGGCGGAAGCCUGAUGCAGCAACGCCGCGUGCGGGAUGACGGCCUUCGGGUUGUAAACCGCUUUCGCCUGUGACGAAGCGUGAGUGACGGUAAUGGGUAAAGAAGCACCGGCUAACUACGUG
rnacentral:rRNA from 1 species